UACGAAGGGGGCUAGCGUUGCUCGGAAUCACUGGGCGUAAAGGGUGCGUAGGCGGGUUUUUAAGUCAGGGGUGAAAUCCUGGAGCUCAACUCCAGAACUGCCUUUGAUACUGGAGAGCUUGAGUCCGGGAGAGGUGAGUGGAACUCCGAGUGUAGAGGUGAAAUUCGUAGAUAUUCGCAAGAACACCAGUGGCGAAGGCGGCUCACUGGCCCGGUACUGACGCUGAGGUGCGAAAGCGUGGGGAGCAAACAGG
rnacentral:rRNA from 1 species